rnacentral:rRNA from 1 species
AAUGGCGGCGUGCUUACAAUGCAAGUCGAACGGGGAGUUAGCAAUAACUCCUAGUGGCGAACGGGCGAGUAACGCGUAGACAACCUACCUUCUAGAUGGGGACAACACUGCGAAAGUGGUGCUAAUACCGAAUGUUGUGAAGGGGAGGCAUUUCUCCUUCACCAAAGAUGGCCUCUAUUUAUAAGCUAUCGCUAGAAGACGGGUCUGCGUCUGAUUAGCUAGUAGGCGGGGUAACGGCCCACCUAGGCGACGAUCAGUAGCCGGUCUGAGAGGAUGAACGGCCACACUGGGACUGAGACACGGCCCAGACUCCUGCGGGAGGCAGCAGUGGGGAAUCUUCCGCAAUGGACGAAAGUCUGACGGAGCAACGCCGCGUGAGUGAUGAAGGCCUUCGGGUUGUAAAGCUCUGUUAUCAGGGAAGAACACUUUCUAUGUGAAUAAUGUAGGGAGAUGACGGUACCUGAGGAGGAAGCCACGGCUAACUACGUGCCAGCAGCCGCGGUAAUACGUAGGUGGCGAGCGUUGUCCGGAAUUAUUGGGCGUAAAGCGCGCGUAAGUGGGAUAGUAAGUCUCAUUUAAAAGAUCGGGGCUCAACCCCGUUAAGGGUGAGAAACUGCUAUUCUUGAGUGCAGGAGAGGAAAGCGGAAUUCCCAGUGUAGCGGUGAAAUGCGUAGAUAUUGGGAGGAACACCAGUGGCGAAAGCGGCUUUCUGGACUGUGUCUGACACUGAGGCGCGAAAGCUAGGGGAGCGAACGGGAU